rnacentral:lncRNA from 1 species
GCCGGGCGUGGUGGCGCACAUCUUUAAUCCCAGCACUUGGGAGGCAGAGGCAGGUGGAUUUCUGAGUUCGAGGCCAGCCUGGUCUACAAAGUGAGUUCCAGGACAGCCAGGGCUAUACAGAGAAACAGAGAAACCCUGUCUCAAAAAAAACCAAAAAAAAAAAAAAGACAGGAUCUUACUUUGUAGCCUUGUCUGGUCUAGAACUCAGUAUGUAGACCAGGCUGGCCCCCGAACUCACAGAGAUCUGCUUGCUU